rnacentral:rRNA from 1 species
GACGAACGCUGGCGGCGCGCUUAACACAUGCAAGUCGAGCGAAGCGGCGGACGGGUGAGUAACACGUGAGUAACCUGCCUUAGACAUUGGGAUAGCCUCGGGAAACCGGGAUUAAUACCAAAUGGUCUAAGAUGGACUCGCGUCCCAUUAGCUAGUUGGUGAGGUAACGGCCCACCAAGGCGACGAUGGGUAGCCGGCCUGAGAGGGUGAACGGCCACAUUGGAACUGAGAAACGGUCCAAACUCUACGGGAGGCAGCAGUGGGGAAUAUUGCACAAUGGAGGGAACUCUGAUGCAGCGACGCCGCGUGAACGAAGAAGGCUUUCGAGUCGUAAAGUUCUUUUAUAUGGGAAGCGGUACCAUAAGAAAAAGCCCCGGCUAACUACGUGCCAGCAGCCGCGGUAAUAC